CAGUAGUAAAGAUUCAUUAUUGUUAUAAUGGAUGCAUGUUAUAAUAGGGUGAAGACUUUGAUUUAAGUAGUUGCAAGUUUUGUGAUCAUCCUCGAUACAAGAGGCAACAUCGAGAAAUGGGUAAUCGAACGCAAAAUAUUAAAGCCUUAUAAGAAGAUGUACUACUUUUCCCUAACUCAUCGAUUGCAACGAUCAUAUACAUCAAAUACAACAACUGGAGAAAUGAGGUGGCAUGUUGAGCAUGAGGUUGAAGAUAGUGCUACGCUUUAUUGCUCAGAAUCUCUUGCUUAGAUGCAUUUCAAUCAGACACAUCUAGAUUUUGCUAUUGAAAGUUGAAAUGUUAGGCUAGGUCUUUGCACUGAUGGGUUUUAAUUGUUCGGGCAAUUAGUGCAACAAUAUUCUUCAUGGCCC
rnacentral:lncRNA from 1 species